rnacentral:rRNA from 1 species
CCUACGGGUGGCUGCAGUGGGGAAUAUUGGACAAUGGGGGGAACCCUGAUCCAGCCAUGCCGCGUGUGUGAAGAAGGCCCUCGGGUUGUAAAGCACUUUCAGUGAGGAAGAACGCCUGGUGGUUAAUACCCAUCAGGAAAGACAUCACUCACAGAAGAAGCACCGGCUAACUCCGUGCCAGCAGCCGCGGUAAUACGGAGGGUGCGAGCGUUAAUCGGAAUUACUGGGCGUAAAGCGCGCGUAGGUGGCUUGAUAAGCCGGUUGUGAAAGCCCCGGGCUCAACCUGGGAACGGCAUCCGGAACUGGAAAGAUAGCGCGGAGGAGUGAGAGGGAGACUUCCCGGUGACGCGGUGAUGCGCUGAGAGCUCGGAAGGCGUGGCAGUGGCGAAGGCGGCCUGCAGGACUGACAUUGCACCGGAGGUGUGAACGCGUGCCUAGCAAGCGGGCUUAGAGAGCGCGGGAGUC